rnacentral:rRNA from 1 species
GACGAACGCUGGCGGCGUGCUUAACACAUGCAAGUCGAACGGAAAGGCCCUGCUUUUGUGGGGUUCUCGAGUGGCGAACGGGUGAGUAACACGUGUGUAACCUCCCCUUGACUUUGGGAUAACUUCUGGAAACUGGGGCUAAUACCGGAUAGGAGCUCUUGCUGCAUGGUGGGGGUUGGAAAGUUUCGGCGGUUGGGGAUGGACUCGCGGCUUCUCAGCUUGUUGGUGGGGUAGGGGCUUACCAAGGCUUUGACGGGUAGCCGGCCUGAGAGGGUGACCGGCGACAUGGGGACUGAGAUACGGAGCAGACGCCUACGGGAGGCAGCGGUGGGGAAUAUUGCAGAGUGGGCGGAAGCCUGAUGCAACGACGCCGCGUGCGGGAUGACGGCCUUCGGGUUGUAAACCGCUUUCGCCUGUGACGAAGCGUGAGUGACGGUAAUGGGUAAAGAAGCACCGGCUAACUACGUG